UCCUUAACCCACUGAGUGAGGCCAGGAAUCAAACCGGCAUCCUCAGAAAGACUUACGUAAGGUUCUUAACCCGCUGAGUCACAACAGGAACUCCCCUAAUUUUUUUUUUUUAAAGCAAUAUCAUAAGAACACUGUUUCUCCCAAGAGAAAGGGAAGGAGACAGUUACUACAUGCUGUGUUAAGUGUGAAAUUUCACUUUCAGGAUCCAGAAUUCUGGUACCUACUGAAGCAUCCAUUCUUUCCUAACAUGUAACACGCUAAUAAAGUCUCUCUGGAAGAAGAGUUCUCUUGGGAAUCAAGGGUACCCAGCGUUUCUGUAUCUGUCAGUGAUUUUUAAAGUUCCCAUUCUGUCAGACUGCAGUUGGAUGAAGCGGACACUUGGCAGCUGAAAUUAAACAAGGUCACCCAUCCCCUUACAGACCAGGAACCAAGCUUAGAAAGUGACCUGGUGGGGAGGGGUCACUUUUGCAUGUAUGAGAUUUAUAAAGCUGAAGUAUGCCUGCCUCAGCUUUGGUUGAUCAGUAAUCCAGACCAUAGAUAGUAAUCCCGACUGGCUAUAGCUUAGCCAGUUAGUUUGGAUCAACCAAACCUGGAUGUAUACAGAGGCCCAGCAAGUAACCAAGAUAUGUUAGUUGGGAAGGCUGAGAGCAAUUUCAGGGGUGAGGCCUUUGGCAAACUUAGGCAAAACAGGUCUUCUUAGCCAGACCUUUGGCCCACACUUGUCCUGGAAAUCAUAGGGACUGCCUUGUCACUGUCCCUACCUGCUCAGAGUCUCUCUCAUGGGCUAGCUCAUGUGAGAAAACCCACAUUGGGUGAAACACCAGAAGCCAGAUGUCAGGAGUUGCCUGGUGCUGCCAUUGUAUGCCUGAGAGACACCCUCGGGGGGCCUUGAUUUUCUCAUCAGUAAUGAGGGGACUGGACUGCUCCACUUCUAAGGACCUGUAGCUUCUGGCAUUCCAGGAAAAGAAAGGAGGCUGUGCAGAAUGCUUGGUGAGGCCCUCUGCCUGCCAGCUACUUUGAGUAGGUCACCUUUCAUAAGUUUGCCUUUCUUUCUCUCAGGUGAGGAAACAAGUGCCUGUGGAAAGGCUACGUGUUAAAUGACUUGUCAAGAUCACACCAUGGGCCGGCAUAUAAACCCACAUCCCGUAGGCACACACCCUUUGUACUUCUCACUACGUAGGGAUUUUCAAUCUGAGGUUACACUCCAAGGCCCCAGAUCAUAACUUGGGGUUGAUACCAGUAACGAGAUCAUCCAACUGCCUGAGUUCACUGGAUGGACACAUCCCAAUGAGACAGCAUUCAUGCUCGCUCUAAAAUUCUUUGGCAGGAAUCCUGUAGGGCUUGUGGGUGAGAAGAUGAGGGGUGGGGCCUACAAACCUCAUAUGUGGGGGGAUUUCAUCACAGCUCUGCACUGCUUAUGCUUCAUUUGACCCCAGAAUGGAUGUGUUGCCAAAUGGCUUCCUUCCGUAGGUGUGAGGUCACAUAAUUAAAGGCUAGAGUGCUGCCAGCACCUUGGCUAGAGGGUACCGAGUGCACUGUUAGCCCAGGUCUCCUUUGAAAAAAAAAGGAUCUAUCAGAGUGCUCUCUUCCCCCUGUAGUAUUUUUAGUCCAUUCUAUGUCUUGUUCCACACCUAAGGGGUUUUGACAUCCUGUUCCCUUAUCUCAAACCCCCCACCACCUCAGGGGGGGCCGGGUGUAGAAGGAGAAGUGAAGGCUGACACAUUUGUGCCCCCACUCAGCAGUGUGUUUAAUAUCAGCCACAUAUUUCUUUCCACAGUUGGGCAAAGCUCAAACACUCCAGCCCACUUACACUCUUGAGACAUUUUCUUUCCACUCUUUGUCUACUCUACAGACAAGUUUCUAGCAGCAUUAUCUCCAAAUAAUUAUUGAACUAGAAAGCCUCAGACAGAUUAGUCUUCCCCGCAUUUGGGUUGUGACAAUGUUGUUUGUAUUCCUUAAAAAACAAACAAGUCAGAUAACCCAAGUGAAAGGCAAAAGCUCCUCGCUAUGGAUUCAUCCAGUCCAAGGGGGACAAACUCUAAAUACCAGCAGGGACAAAUAAUGCAAGGGAGAGAGGCAUCUGUCAUGUGACCUCAGGGUUUGGAUGACCUCAGGGGCCAUGGAAAUGGCUGGGAAUUGGACAACACAUGCCACCUCCAAAGAGGGCAACUCUUGCACAGUGCUGGCUGAUUGGUAGAGGUGCAAUAGUAGAUGCAGCCAUGCCAGACCUUUAGAUUUUUUUUUUUUUCAAGAAAAGCCAGAAACCUGGAUUUUUUGAAUGUUAAAUAUCUCAUUUUUUUUUUUUUAACAUUGGCCACAUUCAAAUGUAAAAAUAGCACUUGCAGGCCAAGCCAACCGUUUCUGCAGACCAAAUUCCAGCUGCCAGUGUGUAUGUACCCUCUGAUCUGGUUCUUUCAGAAAGCAUCCAUUGAGCCUGGAAGUUCUCAUUUAACUCUGAGCAUACGUGAACUUUGGAACUCUGAUAGGUCCCAACUGUUAAAGCUUAUUCUCUUUUCAUCUUUGUUUUGGCAGGGAGAAUACUAACAUUCUGGCCUUUGGGAGACCAGAACUGUUGUCCUAGUGACUGGAUGUUUGACUUUGUGGUCAUACACUGCAUUUGGCCAUCAGUGUGCAUUCUGUGAUGAUUACAGCGUAUUUAGAUGGAAAGAAAGUGCAGUUUGUUUCUUGGAUUUGAUUCGAAAGUUUAUAAGCAUCAACAACAAAAUAUCUACCGUGCUUUGUUUAUAAGCAUCAACAACAAAAUCUCUACUGUGCUUUGUUUUUCCGGAGACCUUCUCCUUUGAGGUGCUGGCAGGUAUUUUGCUAAUACACUUCCCUGUUUCCUAGGAGGUAAGCAGGUGGAGGCAGGGUGGUUAGCUCAGUCCCAGGGGGGGACCUGCUUCUGUUCCUGGCGCCUCCAUUGUCCUGGACUGUUGAUUGUUGGUGAUGAGCAGGUCGUCCUGAAUUGCGUGGACUCAAAUUUAAUUAAACAGGUUAAAAGACUUGUUCUAAACCUGUCACAGGAUCCAUGUCCUUCACUAGCACCCAGGCUAAGAAUUCAUAAUAUACUCAUUCCAUAAACAAAUAUAAUGUCUGUGUUUCUUAGGUAAAUAACAGGUGUCUAGUGUUUGACUAUGAUUUUGACGUACCUUGUCAUGUGUAUUUGUGUGUCGGGGGUUUCUCUGCCAAAAAGGGUAAAACCUUGUCUAAAUUCCAGCUUAAAUAAAACAACCUUCAAACUCCAUAUCCGGGAAAAGAAUUGGCACUGUUUACUGCUUUCUGCAAAGACUUCAUAAUGAGGCACCGGGUCACACAUUGCCUUUUCACAGCAGAACAUGUUUGCACAAGGACCUUUGAGCCAUUGCAACGUGAAAAGUUUCUAAAGAGAGGUCAGAAGUGUUAUUUCAACAUGGCUUUGUUUCUCACUCUGCUGGGCAAUCUCCCCUGCCCAUACAUUCCUCUUUAGCUUUGGGCUCCUGUGUGUGGUCGUGUCUCCCCUGCCCCCACCCCUCCCUUAAAGAGCUUUACUUAAAGCAAAUCCCACCUCAGCCCCCAGGGGGGAUGAGCAGCUAUUUCCCAGCGGAGAAAUCUCAUUUAUAACCGUGGACAUGUCUCAGGACGCAGGCAGCCCUUUGCAAAGCAGCCCAGGUGCUUCAUCUCAGGAACGAGAGUGCACAGCGAAGAACAGGGCGUCUCCUGGAAAGUGGGCAUCUUUUGAACCCUCUGUUUGAUGGGCAGGCCCCAGCCAGAGUGUGAGAAGUGAAACCUUAGGACUUUCUUGCCAGAUGCUAGAGAAGGCUGGGAGGGCCUAAUUACUGGUUACUUGUUUGUAAGGUGCUGCCAACCCAUUCCUUAGGGAGAGCUGCU